GAUGCGAGCGUUAUCCGGAUUUAUUGGGUUUAAAGGGUGCGUAGGCGGAUUUGUAAGUCAGCGGUAAAAAUGCGGUGCUCAACGCCGUAUCGCCGUUGAAACUGCGGGUCUUGAGUGAGCGAGAAGUAUGCGGAAUGCGUGGUGUAGCGGUGAAAUGCAUAGAUAUCACGCAGAACUCCGAUUGCGAAGGCAGCAUACCGGCGCUCAACUGACGCUCAUGCACGAAAGUGUGGGUAUCGAAC
rnacentral:rRNA from 1 species